rnacentral:antisense_RNA from 1 species
AGAAGGAGCAGGAAGAGAUGGUCAGCUGAGGGUCACCUCAAGCCCCACCUGCCCAUGAUUCUUCUGAUGGAGGCUCACAACAGGCUAUGGUCUGGGCUAUCUCUGUGGGGUGCAAUGUCUGCUCUCUGUAUCAAUACAGAGGGUGACAAACACUAUGUGGAUGCCGACCGGGGCUGCAGGUCAGGGGACGGUGCUGUAAUAGGACCCAAACUUUCCAACAAAACAUUGGCCUUUUCACUUGUUCUUUUCCGGUGAGGCGGGUGGUUUGAGAAGAGAAAAUAGAAUUUCUGGGAAAAAGCAAUAUUGGGACAGAAUAUUUGAACUACGGGUGGCCCUGAGGCAUCCAGAAUGGAUGGAUGCUUUGCUUGGAAUUUGAGCGUCCAUGUCAGGAAGGAUGCACAAUGGGAAUUUAGAAGAACUGCAAAGGGGCUGGAUUUGACAGUAUCCAUACUUGUCAGAAAAGGCAUAACUCUAAGAGAUUUAACAGUGCCAUGGGGUCCCGAUUGCACUCACCAUCCACACCAUCAUGUAGGAGAAGGCUGCGAUCCACAGCGUGGAGGAAGCAAACGUCACCAUGAACCAUUUCUCCCAGCGCGGCUUGUUGCAGUUGGGUACAGUGAAGUAUAAGACGAAACUCAGCGGCCAGGUGAACGCCCAUUUCACUGUUUCCAG